ACCACCAAGAUACGUGUGGCAUGUACCCGAUGUAACUCAACCAUUGCAACGAGAGCUUCGAAGCUUCUAUGGACAAGCUCCUGCAGUGGUAGAACUAUGUGUACAGGCUGGUGCUGAAGUCCCUGAGCAAUAUAAGCCAACUAUGAGAUUUGAUGUGGGGAUUCCUAACAGUAUCAAAGAAGCAGAAAUGGUUGUUUGAUUGUGUAGUGGUUGGAAUGUAUAAUAGCAUUUAUGUGUUUAUCCUAAAGAUUGAAAACCAACCAUAUGAAGGAAAAUGGCAAGUUCCAA
rnacentral:misc_RNA from 1 species